UACUAAACGCGUUCAGGUACCCAAUAUCGAAAAUCAAAUCCGAAUUUUUGGUCUCGUGUGCUCGUGUGUACCAAAUUGCGAGCGUAGCUGUCUCUCGCUGCAUCGAUCUAUUCUUUGUGAAAUUGAGGAUGAGAACUAUGCAGACUCGCAAUUUAGCUCGGAUUAUUCCCGUUUCUAUACUUGUCAAUCGUAUCGUCCGUCACAUGGGAAUUUCUGGAUCAACGAGUUAAUCUGCUAUUUGAAUGAGAGAAGUGCAUUAUCUGAGAGGCUACUGAAAAGUUGGGCCGGCAAACUUUAAAUCGGGUUGUAAAUUAUGUUGUUUCUGGUAAUACAGAUUUUACGUAAUCAGAACAAUAAAUGUUGAGUGGGGGUAGUGAUUUAUACGUAAACUAAUAUUUUUGCCUUUUGCUUGCCUAUGUUGCUUAUUUAUUUUCCAGGAAUGUUAUGCAUAGUCUGAUUGUUUUUUGAUGCCUACUCAAGUAUAGCUCUGCAUUCCACCAGUGGUGUUCUGGCAGUAAUUUGCAGGCUUGUGGUUCAUGAAGUAAUUACUCAGGUGCUGCCAGCAUUGGAAGAGAGAAAAGCCAGUAUUUGUAUGAUUGUCGUAGCUGUAUGUUCCCUCCACUGGCUCUUCAAAUGUCAUUAUACACUGAUGUGGCAUCAGUUACUGCGGGUGUGCCGCACUUUCGUCAUAUUUGAUGCACACAGAAAAGAACUAUCUAUUUAGUGCAGUGCUUGGUGAUUUUGCUGUUUUUGUGCGGCAAACAAAUAUGUUUGGAUACUUUUUGUCGCAUGCACCGGAAUUAUUGAUAAUACCCUGUUGUUCAAAGAGAAAAAGAGCAAUAGAUGCCUUCUGUCUAUUCCAUCAAAAAGAAGAUUGAUUAGCUUCUAGUUAAAACUGCUGCUUCAGGGUCCAACCUGAGACGCUGAAGGUUCGGCAGCUCUGUAGAUUUUUUCAAUCAGUCAACUUUUAGAAGUUCUUGUUCAUCCAAUUCCUCAGGUGCUGAUAACACGUGCAAGGACUGGUGAGCCAAGUAUGUUUAAACUUCAAAGGUGUUUGAGUUUAACAAUUUGGCAUGCCCCGAGUGACCAUGUCCGUGUUUUAAACAGUGGUCUUAGAUUUAGUGUUGAAACCAUGUUUGUCAAUUGUCAUACAUGUACAAUGCAGCUGACGGGAGCUAACAGAAAGUAAGCGUUGUCAUUACUGAAGGUUAUAUCUGUCAACCCUGGAAUGUUUUGGAACCAACAUGGAAUAUAAUGAUAUUAGAUUUUGUAAAAUAUUUUGAAAAGUAGGAUGUGCCAUAUUAUGUUUAAAUCUAGAUUCAAUUGAAAGACUGUAUGUCAAGUUUUAUGAGGAAAUUAGAUUGUUUGUUUAUAAGUUUCCCAAGUUGCAUCGUCCUCACUUGGACACAGCCCGACAAAUUUACCCGAAGCCUUUGUAUUUGCUCGCUAGCCGCCUGGUUUUGAUCUGCUUAAGCUGCUAAAAAUUAGUAGAGCGUGACGUUAGACAUGUGAUUAUGAUUGUUUAGUUCAUUCAUGUGUGUAUUUACUACACGUCACAUAUAUGUUUCAGUUUCUCUAGUCUUAAAUGGUCGAAAUGCCCUCAUAUAUUAUCGUCAUCCCUUGAAAAGGUGAAAGUGCACCAGGUGUUAUUGCCGCUGCCUCCUCGUAUCUGUGAAAAGGGUUUUUUACACUAAGGAUUUCAUCAUAGAAACCCCCCAUCUCCCAUCCGCCACAACUCUCACCUGGAAACAAACACGAGGUCAGAUGAACACAUACUCUGUUGACUCAUAUGUUUACCUGCUGACAGUCAUCAUCUACAAUUUUCCAUAUACAGUAUAUGUGUGUAUAUUUGAGAGCAGGGUCUUGGUGUGUGUGUUUAAUAACCCGAGUUAAAUGUCCCAUAUAUGUUAUGGAAUUUUCGAGCAAGCUCUGUACGAAUAAAGUAAUGAAGUAUAUAUAGUAAAUGGUAUGUUCUUCAUUAUUUUU